AACGAACGCUGGCGGCAGGCUUAACACAUGCAAGUCGAGCGCAUCCUUCGGGGUGAGCGGCGGACGGGUGAGUAACGCGUGGGAACGUGCCCUCUUCUACGGAAUAGCCUCGGGAAACUGAGAGUAAUGCCGUAUACGCCCGCAAGGGGAAAGAUUUAUCGGAGGAGGAUCGGCCCGCGUUGGAUUAGGUAGUUGGUGGGGUAACGGCCUACCAAGCCGACGAUCCAUAGCUGGUUUGAGAGGAUGAUCAGCCACACUGGGACUGAGACACGGCCCAGACUCCUACGGGAAGCAGCAGUGGGGAAUCUUGGACAAUGGGGGCAACCCUGAUCCAGCCAUGCCGCGUGAUCGAUGAAGGCCUUAGGGCUGUAAAGAUCUUUCAGCUGGGAAGAUAAUGACGGUACCAGCAGAAGAAGCCCCGGCUAACUCCGUG
rnacentral:rRNA from 1 species